CCCGCUGAACUUAAGCAUAUCAAUAAGCGGAGGAAAAGAAACUAACAAGGAUUCCCCUAGUAACUGCGAGUGAAGCGGGAAGAGCUCAAAUUUAAAAUCUGGCGUGCCUCCGGUCGUCCGAGUUGUAGUCUGGAGAAGCGUUUUCCGUGUUGGACCGUGUAUAAGUCUCUUGGAACAGGGCGUCAUAGAGGGUGAGAAUCCCGUCUUUGACACGGACUGCCAAUGCUUUGUGAUGCGCUCUCAAAGAGUCGAGUUGUUUGGGAAUGCAGCUCAAAAUGGGUGGUAAAUUCCAUCUAAAGCUAAAUAUAGGCGAGAGACCGAUAGCGAACAAGUACCGUGAGGGAAAGAUGAAAAGCACUUUGGAAAGAGAGUUAAACAGUACGUGAAAUUGCUGAAAGGGAAACGCUUGAAGUCAGUCGUGUCUGCCAGGACUCAGCCUCGCUUCUGCUUGGUGUACUUUCUGGUCUGAUGGGCCAACAUCAAUUUCGACCGCUGGAGAAAGGCUUUGGGAACGUGGCACCUUCGGGUGUGUUAUAGCCCUUUGUCAUAUACGGCGGUUGGGAUUGAGGACUGCAGCACGCCAUUAUUUGGGUAGGGGCAUCUCACCCACGUACGUGCUUAGGAUGUUGGCAUAAUGGCUUUAAGCGACCCGUCUUGAAACACGG
rnacentral:rRNA from 1 species